rnacentral:rRNA from 1 species
CUGGCGGUAUGCUUAACACAUGCAAGUCGAACGGGAUGCUUAGGCAUCUAGUGGCGGACGGGUGAGUAACGCGUGAGAAUCUGGCUCCAGGUCGGGGAUAACAGUUGGAAACGACUGCUAAUACCGGAUGUGCCGAGAGGUGAAAGAUUUAUUGCCUGGAGAUGAGCUCGCGUCUGAUUAGCUAGUUGGUGGUGUAAGGGACCACCAAGGCGUCGAUCAGUAGCUGGUCUGAGAGGAUGAUCAGCCACACUGGGACUGAGACACGGCCCAGACUCCUACGGGAGGCAGCAGUGGGGAAUUUUCCGCAAUGGGCGAAAGCCUGACGGAGCAAUACCGCGUGAGGGAGGAAGGCUCUUGGGUCGUAAACCUCUUUUCUCAAGGAAGAAGAAAGUGACGGUACUUGAGGAAUAAGCAUCGGCUAACUCCGUGCCAGCAGCCGCGGUAAUACGGAGGAUGCAAGCGUUAUCCGGAAUGAUUGGGCGUAAAGGGUCUGCAGGUGGAACUGAAAGUCUGCUGUUAAAGAGUUUGGCUUAACCAAAUAAAAGCGGUGGAAACUACAGAACUAGAGUGCGGUAGGGGCAAAAGGAAUUCCUGGUGUAGCGGUGAAAUGCGUAGAUAUCAGGAAGAACACCGGUGGCGAAAGCGUUUUGCUAGACCGUAACUGACACUGAGGGACGAAAGCUAGGGGAGCGAAUGGGAUUAGAUACCCCAGUAGUCCUAGCCGUAAACGAUGGAUACUAGGCGUGGCUUGUAUCGACCCGAGCCGUGCCGGAGCUAACGCGUUAAGUAUCCCGCCUGGGGAGUACGCACGCAAGUGUGAAACUCAAAGGAAUUGACGGGGGCCCGCACAAGCGGUGGAGUAUGUGGUUUAAUUCGAUGCAACGCGAAGAACCUUACCAAGACUUGACAUCCUGCGAAUCCUGGUGAAAGCUGGGAGUGCCUUAGGGAGCGCAGAGACAGGUGGUGCAUGGCUGUCGUCAGCUCGUGUCGUGAGAUGUUGGGUUAAGUCCCGCAACGAGCGCAACCCUCGUUUUUAGUUGCCAGCAUUAAGUUGGGCACUCUAGAGAGACUGCCGGUGACAAACCGGAGGAAGGUGAGGAUGACGUCAAGUCAGCAUGCCCCUUACGUCUUGGGCUACACACGUACUACAAUGCUACGGACAGAGGGCAGCGAGCCAGGGAUGGCAAGCGAAUCCAGAAACCGUAGCUCAGUUCAGAUCGAAGGCUGCAACUCGCCUUCGUGAAGGAGGAAUCGCUAGUAAUUGCAGGUCAGCAUACUGCAGUGAAUUCGUUCCCGGGCCUUGUACACACCGCCCGUCACACCAUGGAAGUUGGUCACGCCCGAAGUCAUUACCCCAACCGAAAGGAGGGGG